UGUACACUUAUGCCUAUUAUGACCAGUGGCGUGCAUAACGUUUUUAGACAGUGUAGGCAGUCAAAAAAAUAUGAACAGCCACACUGCACCUACUUUCUCGCAAUUUUUUCCUAAUUUAUUUCAA